GAUGAACGCUGGCGGCGUGCCUAAUACAUGCAAGUCGAGCGAACAGACGAGGAGCUUGCUCCUCUGACGUUAGCGGCGGACGGGUGAGUAACACGUGGAUAACCUACCUAUAAGACUGGGAUAACUUCGGGAAACCGGAGCUAAUACCGGAUAAUAUAUUGAACCGCAUGGUUCAAUAGUGAAAGACGGUUUUGCUGUCACUUAUAGAUGGAUCCGCGCCGUAUUAGCUGGUUGGUAAGGUAACGGCUUACCAAGGCGACGAUGCGUAGCCGACCUGCGAGGGGGAUCGGCCACACUGGAACUGAGACACGGUCCAGACUCCUACGGGAGGCAGCAGUAGGGAAUCUUCCGCAAUGGGCGAAAGCCUGACGGAGCAACGCCGCGUGAGUGAUGAAGGUCUUCGGAUCGUAAAACUCUGUUAUUAGGGAAGAACAAAUGUGUAAGUAACUAUGCACGUCUUGACGGUACCUAAUCAGAAAGCCACGGCUAACUACGUG
rnacentral:rRNA from 1 species